GUUCCCGGAAGAACGAAGCGCCCAGAGGGACCAAGCCAACUUCGGCUUGGAGCGAGGGUAGGGGCGGGUGGUGAAACGGGGGCUGCCUAAGUUGGGGUCCUGCUCCGCAAUCACACUGCCCCUUCCCUCCUUUCUUCCCACUUGCCGCCCCCUCUCCAGAUAACUCUUAGCUUUGGGAUCUGCAGGAGGAGAGAAGAAGGGAAGAGACAUCUUUAGAAAGAGACUUGAGGACUGGGAGAGGGUGAGCUGGUGGUGUAGGGCACGGGCUGGUGCGGGAGGGGAGGAGGCUUUGUCUCAAAGUCCGCUGGCUGGCCUGGCCCUUGAUGCUUCUGCGUGGAAUCCCCCUUCAUUCGGGGGGCCUCAGUGUAGGCUGGGGGCGUAGAGUCCGGAUUCAACUUCAGCAGCCAGGCAGUGGGAGGGUGAGGCAGCUUGGAAAAUGAAAGAGGUGAAAGAAUCCCAGGGUCCUUUUAGGUUCUCACAAAUCCCCUCCUUGGUAUCUGGUCCCCACAGUGGGUGGAGUAGGGGUACGAGGGAGGGAGAGGGGGCAGAUGUCCCGCAGCCCUUUAUGUCGUUAGUAGUUUCUCCUCCAGAGCCCUUCCUGCCUUCUGUCCGAGCCUCACCCCAGUAGGGCUUUUCUGUGGCCACCAGGAGCAACCCUAGGUACAGUGGGAGCUCUGGAGCCUGUGGGGAGUGGGGUAUCCUGCCCCGUCUAGAACUCUAGCUCCUGUCCCUCUUUACACCCACGGGGCCUUCCUGUGCCCAUGUUUGGAUACUGAGCAUCCGUGGAAGAGGAGAUCCCGUCCUCUAGAGGAAUUCUGCCGGGGCCUUAAAGGAUAUGUGGGAAGUUGUACAAGAUGUCCAACGCUGUGAGUCAGCUGGCAAUCAAGGGACAAGGCAAGAAUUACCUGAGAUCCUGUCUGUCUUUCCACUGAGUUGAGAGCCCCUAGAACUUGGCCACACAGAAAUAGAAGAUGAGGAAACUGAAGUGCAAAGAAGUUUAAGUCACCUGCCUAAUGUACACAGCUGUCAAGAUGGCAGAGGCAGACUGAACUGAGCAAUCUAGUUCUAGAGCGUGUGCACCAAACUGUCAUGCUAUCUACUGCUUCUCUGAAGUAAUCAAGACCAUUUUCCUCCUUAUGUUAGAUAGGGUGAGUCUAGGUGCUUUGUGAAUCUGGAUGGACCUUCCUAGUUGUUUCUGAUUCUCUGACCACUGCUAAAUAAUCUUGAAAAAAAUCAGGGUUAACGUUUAUUGAUUUGUUAUGCAAGAAAUACAGGCCACGCACCAUGCUAAGCACACUGUUGGAAUUUGUCACUGAAACCCUCUAAUGACCCUGUGAUAUGACUACUGUUAUUUUCCCCCUGUUACAGAGGGGGAACUACAUAGUUUUCCAUCGCUGUGUAACUAAUUGCCACAAACUUCAUGACUUAAAACAAUACACAUUUGUUAUCUCAUAGUUUCUAUAGGCUACAGGUCCAGGCAUAGCUUAGUGGGUCCUCUGCUCAAGUUCUUAUAA